rnacentral:rRNA from 1 species
UACGAAGGGGACUAGCGUUGUUCGGAAUCACUGGGCGUAAAGCGCACGUAGGCGGAUAUGUCAGUCAGGGGUGAAAUCCCGGGGCUCAACCUCGGAACUGCCUUUGAUACAGCAUAUCUUGAGUCCGAUAGAGGUGGGUGGAAUUCCUAGUGUAGAGGUGAAAUUCGUAGAUAUUGGGAAGAACACCAGUGGCGAAGGCGGCUCUCUGGACCGACACUGACGCUGAGGCGCGAAAGCGUGGGGAGCAAACAGG